rnacentral:rRNA from 1 species
GCCCAGCCUUAACAUAACAAUUAAAUAACCCAUUGUUCGCCAAAUAACUACGAGUUACAACUUAAAAUUUAAAAGACUUGACGGUACCCCACAACAACCUAGAGGAGCCUGUCUAAUAAACGAUACCCCACGAUUAACCCAACCCACCAUAGCCAUCCAGUCUAUAUACCGCCGUCGCCAGCCAUCCUCCUGAGAGAACAAAAGUAAGCCAAACAGUUUAACCACUAACACGACAGGUCAAGGUGUAACUAAUAGGUGGUGAUAAGAUGGGCUACAUUAUCUACCCAGAAUAUACGAAUUAAACUUUGAAAAGUCAACUGAAGGCGGAUUUAGCAGUAUCUUAAGGACAAAACACUUAAUUGAAACAUUCGCAAUGGGGUGCGCACACACCGCCCGUCAUCCCUGUCAGCACAGCGAUACAUAUAGCUAUACACACACACUACCAGGGCAAGUCGUAACAUGGUAAGCGUACUGGAAAGUGCGCUUAGAAAC